rnacentral:misc_RNA from 1 species
UCCGGCUUAUCACCGGCAGUUUCAUUAGAGUGCUCAACUAAAUGGUAGCAACUAAAGACGAGGGUUGCGCUCGUUGCGGGACUUAACCCAACAUCUCACGACACGAGCUAACGACAGCCAUGCAGCACCUGUGCUGGUGUUCCGAAGAAGGGCUCCUGUUUCCAGAAGCUUUCACCAGCAUGUCAAACCUAGGUAAGGUUCUUCGCGUUGCUUCGAAUUAAACCACAUGCUCCACCGCUUGUGCGGGCCCCCGUCAAUUCCUUUGAGUUUCAGCCUUGCGGCCGUACUCCCCAGGCGGAUAACUUAAUGCGUUAGCUGCGCCACCGAAAGCCUAAGGCCCCCGACAGCUAGUUAUCAUCGUUUACGGCGUGGACUAC